UGUCAGUUUGUAAAUAUUGCGGCAGGGUUUUUGUAGGGUUUUUCCAAUUUCACAAAUACUGCAUAUAUAAUCGAAGAGAAAAUCUUUCACUUUCACAUUUAAAUUCGUUUACACUACAUGUGCAUAUGUAUAUAUACAUAUGUAAAAGAGUGGUAGAGAGAAGAAACAAGGAUAAAGAGAACAUGUGUUCUUUGAAAAAUGCUACAGAAACGGUGGUCUUAGAACAUGAAGAAGAUGAACCAAUAUUGAAAGAAGAAUCCCAAAAGUACUGCACCUUUUCAAUUAGAUACCCACAACUUUAGGAAAUAUACAAGAAAGCACAAGCCAGUUUCUUGACUGCUGAGGAGGUUGAUCUCUCUCAAGAUUUGCAGCAAUGGGAAGCCUUGUCUGAAUCUGAGAAGCACUUCAUCAGUCAUGUUCUGGCAUCUUUUGCUGCAUCAGAUGGAAUUGUGUUGGAAAAGUUGGCUGCUAGGUUUCUAAAUGAUGUUCAGAUUCAAGAGGUUGCAUUAGGGUACGAUAAGAAGUAUAAUGUUGAGAACCCCUUCGAUUGGAUGGAAUUUAUUUCACUUCAGGGCAAAGCCAACUUCUUUGAGAGAAGAGUAGGUGACUAUCAGAAGGCUUCUGUGAUGUCAAGUUUGCAAGACAAUGGCAAGAAUUUUGAGUUCAAACUAGAUGAGGACUUCUAGAGAUUUUUCCUUUUCCCUUUUUGUCCCCUCAGUAAGAGGCUUUAGCAUCACCUUGAUGCUGAAAGAUGGCAUCUUUUUGUAGUACCAUUCAUUAAGGAUCAUAUUGUUUAUAGUAAGGUUGGGAGUUCUUGGAGGGAGGGAGCCGAGGGUCUAUCGGAUACAGUCUCUCUACCUUAGGGUAGGGAUAAGGUCUGCGUACAAACUACCCGGGAUUAUAUACUGGCUUGUUGUUGUUGUUGUUAUUGGUUAUAGUAAAUACCUUUUUCUCACAUUUAGAAGGGCACUUGAUUGCCUUAUGUGAAGAAAAAGUAAGCGUAUUUGUCAUAAUGUCAAACGUGAUAAUUUUGGUAGUUAUGAGUGUUGGUUGGACUUUGAAGACUAUGUGAAACUCUUUGGCCAACUACUUGUUGCCUAGUAAGGGCAAAGAUAGUGAAAAUUGGUUCUUGGGUUCAUCUUCUUUAGGUGGAUUGGCUCAAUCAUCAUUUGGUUUCCACUUCAUGCCCCACUUUUACUUGUUGCUUUUUAUCCAUUUCAUCAUAAAUAUUCUUCACACAAGAUAUGGAGCAGAGAAGAAGGACAUUAGAUUUCUGCUGCAUGGAACUUUGUUAUUUAUUCUUUUUAACCUUAGUGGCGGUCUACGUCAAACUCCGUGGGUUGCAGCCGUUCGUCGGACCCUGCGUAAAUGUGGGAUACCUUGUGCAUCAGGCUAUCCUUUUUUGCGAUUAUGCUGU